UGGUAAUGAUGGCAGAGAGGUCACACCCGUUCCCAUACCGAACACGGAAGUUAAGCUCUCUAGCGCCGAUGGUAGUUGGGACCUUGUCCCUGUGAGAGUA
rnacentral:rRNA from 6 species